UCAGCGAGAUCAAUAAGUCACAUGGCGCUGUGUUGGUUGGCGCUGGUUGAGGGAGGGACACUUGCUGCUCCCAUACGCUUUGGUAAUUGAAUGGUCAGGGGCACGAUAUCAAGCUGAGGACUCCUCAGAUUUGUGUAUGGACUUUGAAGCACUUCGUUAAUCUGCUGCCUCAGACACUUCUUGGAGACCUACAGAACCCAUGUGAACCACCAGCCAUACAUUUGGAGAAUUUCUUACUGAGCUGACCUGAGCUGGAACUGUCAUGUACCCUACAGAAGUCAUGACUGUUGUAGCCUAUUUCUAGGCAGUAAUCACGAUACACUGAGUGUUUGUGUGUGUGUGUCUUCAUUCCAACAAGUCGCUGUAACAUGACGUCCCUCAUAGCUCUGUUCGGAGGCAGUCGUAUGCCAACCCGCGGCUACAUUGCCGGCAAGCCGGUGUCGAGAUGGGACGCGGAGUCCGACAACAUCGACAUCGAGUACAAGAACCUGGACCGGCCCCGCCCACAAGCGUGGUGCGGAGACUGCUUCAGUGGGAGGAAGGGGACAAUCCUCAAGGUCCUCCUCCUCAUCGUCAUCUUCUUCGUGGGCCUCAUUCUCGGAUACAUCAUCAGGCGCAACAUCCACGAGACUUUCAUAGAACCUGAGCAGAAGCCUAACUUUGGAGUCCAGCAGGACUACAGCGCUGAAAUCAGCAAGGUGAUGCGAGACAGCAUCAACAAUGUGGCCAACUACCAGGACCACAUCAAAACCAUCACCAGAAAGAUUCUGCUGUCAGGCCUCGGCGGAACCAACCAGAUGAUCGACUAUGUCGACUCUUUCUGGAAGUCUUACUACUUCAACUCCCUCAGAGAGAAGAAAUAUUCUGUCCAACUCUCCUAUCCACAAUAUGAGAAGGAUACAGUGAGUGAGCUGCGUGUCGUGGACAGCAACAACACGGUGUACUUCCACUACCACAACAACAUGACCAACGAGAGAGUCGAGUACUUGCCAUUCAAUGCCUAUGCAAAGUCAGGGAACAUAACAAGCGACCUUGUGUACGCUCACUAUGGCCGCAGAGAAGAUUUUCAGAAAUUAAGGGAUCUGAAGGUCAAUAUAACUGGUUGUAUUCUUCUCAUCCGCUACGGGAGAAUUCACCCUGCAAACAAGGUGAAGCACGCGGAGGAGAACGGUGCAAGUGGGGUGGUGUUCUACAGUGACCCCCAGGACUUCUCAGACCCCCACGCUGAAGUGGGCAGCUUCUACUAUCUCCGGAGCUGGGCCAUCCAGUUGGCACAGGUCCGCUACGCCCUGACCGGUGACCCAACAACGCCACAGUACUCAUCCAUGGAUGGAGUUCCCCGCGUCACCAACAGCACCGCCAAGUUCCCUGACAUCCCUGUGCUGCCCAUCAGCUAUGCAGAUGCCGAGGACUUGCUGAAGGAUCUUGGUGGAGUGGCGGUACCAAACGAGUGGAGUGGUGACAUGAGUGUUACCUACAUGACUGGCCCAGGCUACAUCGGAACCAGGCAGGAGAGUAAGGUGAACUUGAUCGUCAACAACGUCCUGGACAUGAGGGAAGUCACCAACAUCAUCGGGACGUUCAAGGGCAAGUAUGAGGAAGAUCACUACAUCCUGGUGGGAGCUCACAUCGACACAUGGACAAUGGGGGCCGUGGAUGCAGGCUCCGGGUUCGCAGUGCUCAUGGAGCUGGUCAGAGUGUACUCGUUCCAGGUCAAAAACGGCUGGCAGCCCAGGAGAAGUGUUAUCUUUGCUGUCUGGGAUGCCUCCAAAUAUGGUCAUAUAGGUGCAUAUGAGUGGGUGCAGGAAUACGAGAAGCAGCUAGGAUAUGGCGCCGUCACCUACAUCAACCUGGACUCUGCUGUACGAGGCAACUACAGCUUCUAUGCUGAGGCAAGCCCACUGCUGUAUGACGUCAUCUACGAUGCCACGAUGACCGUAUCACUGGACGGAACACCUGUCUACAAUUCCUGGAAGACCCUACUGCCGGGCAUCAAGGACAAGAAUAGGCCACUUAUUAAUGACCUCGUCGGAGACAGUGAUGCAUCACCCUUUGCAUACCACGUUGGCGUGCCCAGCAUAGCUCCGGCAUUUACCUAUAACAUUAAGACACACCCAAACCUGCCAACGUAUCCAGCCUACAGCACCCUGGAGGAUGACAGCGAGUACCUGCAGACUCUCAUCGACCCUGACUUUAAGCUGCACAUCACGCUGACACAGAUCGUGACUGACCUACUUCUGAGGCUGUCCGACAGCGCCAUCCUGCCCUUCAACGUCAGCAACUACGCGCUCAUAUUCAGGAAGGGCAAAAUGGAGCUUGAUAAGUACCUGGUAGACAUCCAUGAUGCCAGGAUUAAAAUCGACAUGCUCUAUGCUGGAAUUCAAAACUUCACAGAUUCUGCAAACAUUUUCCAUAAACGUUUUACAUCGGUUGAUAAAACAAAAAUAACGGAAUUUGCUUUGCACAAGAUGAAUGAUCAAGUUAUACAACUGUCCCGCGCCUUUAUAUCCCAGCAGGGCUUUCCAGGGCAUCCACAAUACAGGAACGUGUUAGUGUCCCCUCACCCCGAGAACCUGAACGAUGAGACCGUCUUCCCUGGUUUGAUCUGGGGAGCCAUUGAGGGUAAAAGGUCCGGCAACUGGGACAUGUUCCGACACCAACUGUCAGUGCUACUGGUGUGUUUGAGACAAGCGAGAGACAUUUUGACAGAAGAUAUAAUUUCCGCCACGUUGUGAGAGCUCCAUGAAGGGAGAUAACUUGUGACUAUGCAGGGGAGGGUGGUGUAUCUUGCCAUAGACGCUAGCUGUAUAUAUACCAUAACAUUCCCUGUACGGUGUGAUGUAGUCCUAGACAGGCAGCUUCUUAUUGGAUUAUAUCACAGGUGGCAUUGGAUAUCUACAGUUUGGGCAUGUGCAUGUCAGUGGUGAGCCCUAAUCAAGGAUAUAUUUCACCAAUCAAUGGAAAGGAUUCGGAAGUAAGUGAUCCUGGACUGUAAAAACAAGAGUACCAAGAGUAUGAUAUAUAGAUAUUGACAUUCCCUGAUUAAAGUGAGAUAUCCAUGAUUUGGGGCCUGUGAUACUUCAUUAUGGCCCUUACUAUGGACUGUGUUUCUGUGGAGGGUUGUCCUGGGAGAUGGUCCUGAUUCCACAUUGCAAGCGUUGGUGUUGGCUCUAUAAACAAGGACUUUCAGCAGCAAUGUUUCAGUAUCCUGUAGCUUACAUCGGGUGUUAAAUAUACAUGUACUGGGCUGGUGACUCCUACAGAUGGUCCCUUGUAAAGGACAUUGUAUCUAUUCAUUAUUUCCCAACAAUGGUUCGGCAACAGUGGACAGAAGAUGAGCAGAGGCUGUUUUCAGGGAUUUCAGGAGACAGUAGAAAUGACAAUGUCCAGAGCUUUGGAGAUGUUUGUCAAGGUCGAAUAAGCAGCUACACAAUUUCCAGGCGUCACUGGAUGUUCAAUGUGAUUGACAUUUGUGAUUCUGUUGGUGCUGAUUGGAAGAAGUAACAUCUAUCAAUUUGGAUAUAAAUACUGACCAAGAUAAUCCCCGAUCCCACAACCUCAUGCCAAGAUGUGUGAUGUCAACAUUACCUUAACUGUAUCAGAUGUGUGAUGUCAAUAUUACUUGAGCUGUUUCAGAUGUGUGAUGUCGACAUCACUUGAGCUGUAUCAGAUGUGUGAUGUCGACAUCACUUGAGCUGUAUCAGAUGUGUGAUGUCAACAUCACUUGAGCUGUAUCAGAUGUGUGAUAUCAACAUUACUUGAGCUGUGUCAGAUUGUUAUAUCAACAUCACUUGAGCUGUAUCAGAUGUGUGAUGUCGACAUCACGUAAGUACUAAUUGAUCUUAAAGUCAAAAGCAUCCCUAUCCGAGCACAUAGUGUGAUAGCAAGGUGGACACCAAGCUGUGCUGAUAUUGUUGGGAAGAACGCAUUUCUGUAGAUACAUCAUGAAGUCAUUAUUUAGACUUUGAAAUCAUGUAAAUACUGAUCUGAUAUUUAUAUGCGUUUUUGUGAUAUCAAUGUACCUUUAACUGUCCUUUGCAUACCAUGUUUUUAAGGAAACUGUCAGAAUGUUUGUACUUUUCUUUUGUUCGUCGUCAAGUUUUUUGAAUCAAGCCUCCCAAAAUCCCCCUGACUUCCUGUAGCAUCUUCCAUAGAACGUUUGUAGCCAUGACAGGAAGGAAUGCUGUGUUCUACUGCUGUGUUCCUGGAGUGAUCUGUCAGAUGGAAGCUGUUCAUAUGUUUACUUCUUGCUCAUUGCACUUGAAGCCAGAAAAGCUCUCAGCCAAAAUUUUACCAAAGAAUGAAACCUUCCAGAUUUAGAUGUUUGUAUUUGUUGUCCAUAAGGCCUUCGGAACUGUUUUUAUGUACAGAUUGUUGACUCUAUUGUUGCUCAUCGAUGUCAUGAAGUCCUCUGAAAGGCCCUGGUAAUGUAGUCAUUGAAGUGUUGGAUCCUCAGGGUAAAGAACAGGGUUCUCUGUGUAAGUGUUGGAUCCUCAGGCUAAAGAACAGGGUUCACUGUGUAAGUGUUGGAUCCUCGGGCUAAAGAACAGGGUUCAAUGUGUAAGUGUUGGAUCCUCGGGCUAAAGAACAGGGUUCACUGUGUAAAGCUCAUUCCUGGUGUCAUCUGCCAUGAUGGAUAUUGCUGACAAAGCAGUGGAAAAGUCACUCAGUAAAAAUGCCAAGGAAUAAAGAUGACAUUACCAGAUGCGAGAAGACACUUCAUUUGUCACUGUCAUCAUAUUACUGAAUUCAAACUAUAAGAAAUUUCUUUCUUCGGUGUCUUGUGUUGAUUCAGAAGUAGAAAGUAUUUGGAUUAUGUAUCCUGCAGCCAAAUGUUUCCAAUACUGAGUUCUGCAUCAUCCGCUUGCAUCUGCUACCUAUGUUCAGUAAUGGAAAAUUCUCACAAGGCGUUUUCUGUUUCAUAAUCUGUGAAGUGGUUCAUGAAAAAAAGAAGCUGGAAGGAAACAUUUAAAGUAAAAUAUUAAAGAACCUCUUGAGAACCUUGGCUUCAUGUGUACCCGGGAGCCUCUUUCAAGUACUAGUGGCCAGUACCUCAUCACUGACUAUAGGUAGUAGUUGGGCCGAUGUUAUGUCACUGGUACUGGUGUUCAGGUCCAGUGAAGACUGCACCAGAAACUGGGGUCUCUUGAAGAUGUGUGUAGAACCAAAGACAAGAAAGUCGCACAUCAAAAUGUCUUUCCUUUGAACAUGUAGCAGCAGAAUUAGACAUUCCUGAACAGUGCAAGAUCACAUGAGUACAACUCGGAAAUGACAUAUCUGCUUGUGACAAAAUCUUUUAAGAUCUCUCGAGGUUCAUUUCCAACACCACUGUACAUCAGCAUUGUGAACCAAUUCCAAGAUGAGAUUUUUUGAAAGAAUGCCUGCUAUAUUACAAUCUGCUAAAUGAGAACUUACUUUUUCCCACUUUUAUGUCAUUCAUAAAUUUGAACCUGGUGGUGUCUGUCGAUAUUGUGUCUGUGAAUAAGAUCUGUCCAUGUCCAUGAAUUUCAACAUAAUCAAUCACGUCACAUAAUCUUGCUUCUUAGCAGGUUGACCUGAACACUGACUACUGACAUCGGAGUAUCAAACAAAGAAGGAAGAAUAUUGUCACAUUUUAUCAAAUAAAUGUAAAAAAAUGAUUGAAAAAAAAAAAAAAAAAAAAAAAGAAUAUUAAAAGAUGUCAUAAUAAAGAUACCAUGUCCAGAUCAAUGUUCGUUCAAAUUACGUUUUCAGCUCCUUGGGGAGUAUAAACCCAGGCUGCCUGAUAGACAUAGAUAUUCUGAUCCUGCUCUCUAAGAGUUUGUAAGUGAAAGGAAACCUGAAGUCAGUUAUAUGAGUACCUCUUAACACGACCUGCAUUGGUUCAUGUACAUCCAGGGUGCACAGGUGGUCCAGUCAUCUAAGGCGCCGCGAUUCGCUGUGCAGAGGGACGCCAGAAACCUAUGAUUGUGGGUUCGAAUCCUGGUUCGCCUCGAUUAUGUUUCUAGGUUUGUCACCACCAUACUCGUGCUCGUGGGUUUCUCCGAAGUGGUAAACGUCUAUAUAACUGCGGUAUAACUGGAAUACUGUUAAAAGCGACGUUAAACCCAACUCACUCAGUCAGUCAUUCAUGUACACUCAUGUAUUCCAUUCCAGUCUGUUGGCUGCAAUACAAGAAUGUCAUCGAAGUCAUCGGUUUCUUUAGUUUCACUGGUAACAUUACAACCUUAACAUGUACACAAUAUAUGGGAAAUAAUAAUAAAGUGGAGAUAUGGAGUAAUGAUGAAUAUAUGCUGUGUAGAUAUUGACUGUAUCAUCCCAGAUCUGAUAUAUUCAAUUGUGAUUGGUUGUUUUUAAUUCCACCAUUUAUCAUGUUCGUUGGCAUUGUUUUCACAUAGAAAUCCAGAACUUGUUCCCGACGCUGUCAUCAUGCAUAAUUGUUUACACUAAUUUUAUCAUGCUCUCUCAUAGAAGAGCUUAUUUGUUAUUCUGUUGGAUUUUAAUUUAUAAUUUCAGCAUGCACUAAUCACAUCAUGACGAUGACAUCAACCAUAACAAAGUGGGAUAGAUGACUUUUCUUUACCAUGACAUUCUAUUUCCCAAUUUCAGCAUAAUAAAGCGAUGUCACAAGAUGAUUUUUCAUGAUGUACAUUCAACAUCUGUAACAAAGAGGUUCUUUCAUGAGACCAUCACAGGUGUCUCCUGUAACAGGACGUUGCUCUGGUGUCUGCAUGACGAGGGGCAUGUUCUUAGAGGGAUGGUUCUCACGACGUGAGACACGGCGUCAUGACAAGAAAGAUCGCACUCAUGUCUCCUGUAACAGGACGUUGCUCUGGUGUCUGCAUGACGUGGGGCAUGUUCUUAGAGUGAUGGUUCUCACGACGUGAGACACGGCGUCAUGACAAGAAAGACCGCACUCAUGUCUCCUGUAACAGGACCUCCUUUUGUCAUCUGUAUAAUGUGGAUUGUGAUCUCGUAUUGAUAUGAUGCUUCAUCACUCAUUCAACAUAAUUGGGAUCAGCAAUCAUUCUGUCACGUUUGCUGUUAUCAAGAAACCUACAGGUGUAUAUGUUUCUUGCUGUAACCAAGUUCUUCCAACUUUUGUACAAGUCAAGGUGAUUGGUCAAGUACAUUUUUUUUAUAUUCAUGUAAAGUUAGCUUUUUUGUAAAAAAUAUUUUGGUUACGUUUAAGCAUUUAUUUGUGGAUAAGGAUAUUUCUCCUGUGUAAAGUAUUAAGAACUUUUGAUAAUAUCUGCUCACAUGUGUUAAAUUUGUAUAGAAAUGUUGACUUUUUGUACAAUUCAUCUCAUUUUGGAUUAUUCUGCAAACAGGUAUCAAGUGCCAUUCAUGUUUUCAAAACAUUACUAUACACCCAAAUAAGGCUUGAUCUGAUUAUUGAUCAGACACUUGAUGUAAAGUAAACUGUACAUCAAAUAAGGCUUGAUCUGAUUAUUGAUCAGACACUUGAUGUAAAGUAAACUGUACACCAAAUAAGGCUUGAUCUGAUUAUUGAUCAGACACUUGAUGUAAAGUAAACUGUACACCAAAUAAGGCUUGAUCUGAUUAUUGAUCAGACACUUGAUGUAAAGUAAACUGUACACCAAAUAAGGCUUGAUCUGAUUAUUGAUCAGACACUUGAUGUAAAGUGAACUGUACACCAAAUAAGGCUUGAUCUGAUUAUUGAUCAGACACUUGAUGUGAAGUGAACUGUACACCAAAUAAGGCUUGAUCUGAUUAUUGAUCAGACACUUGAUGUAAAGUGAACUGUACACCAAAUAAGGCUUGAUCUGAUUCUUGAUCAGACACUUGAUGUGAAGUGAACUGUACACCAAAUAAGGCUUGAUCUGAUUAUUGAUCAGACACUUGAUGUAAAGUUAACUGUACACCAAAUAAGGCUUGAUCUGAUUAUUGAUCAGACACUUGAUGUAAAGUGAACUGUACACCAAAUAAGGCUUGAUCUGAUUAUUGAUCAGACACUUGAUGUAAAGUGAACUGUACACCAAAUAAGGCUUGAUCUGAUUAUUGAUCAGACACUUGAUGUAAAGUUAACUGUACACCAAAUAAGGCUUGAUCUGAUUAUUGAUCAGUCACUUGAUGUAAAGUUAACUAUAUACCCAAAUGUGGCUAUAUUUGAUAAGUGAUCAGAUACAAUGGAUAGAGAAGUUGAGAGACUUGUAUAUGAUACAAAUGUAUCACAUGUCUGCGAUACAGUUCUUGAUCCUUUUAUGUUUAGCAAAUGUGAUGAGAUCUCCCCUCCUGUUUACGUUUUUAGUAAUCAUGUUUAUCUGCCUUCCUUUACUAUUGUUGUGGUACUGCCUUUGUGUUUUGUUAGCUUUCAGAUGGCUUUUGAAAAUAAUAUUUCUUGCUUUUUUAUAUGAACAAAUUGUGAAUAAAUAUUCUGGUUAGAAA
rnacentral:misc_RNA from 1 species